AGACUUUGAUUCUGGCUCAGAUUGAACGCUAGCGGGAUGCUUUACACAUGCAAGUCGAACGGCAGCGCGGACUUCGGUCUGGCGGCGAGUGGCGAACGGGUGAGUAAUGCCUAGGAAUCUGCCUGGUAGUGGGGGAUAACUCGGGGAAACUCGAGCUAAUACCGCAUACGUCCUACGGGAGAAAGCGGGGGAUCUUCGGACCUCGCGCUACCAGAUGAGCCUAGGUCGGAUUAGCUAGUUGGUGAGGUAAAGGCUCACCAAGGCGACGAUCCGUAGCUGGUCUGAGAGGAUGAUCAGCCACACUGGAACUGAGACACGGUCCAGACUCCUACGGGAGGCAGCAGUGGGGAAUAUUGGACAAUGGGCGAAAGCCUGAUCCAGCCAUGCCGCGUGUGUGAAGAAGGUCUUCGGAUUGUAAAGCACUUUAAGUUGGGAGGAAGGGCAGUAAGUUAAUACCCUUGCUGUUUUGACGUUACCGACAGAAAAAGCACCGGCUAACUUCGUGCCCAGCAGCCCGGGGUAAUACCAAAGGGUGCAAGGCGUAAAUCCGGAAUUACUGGG
rnacentral:rRNA from 1 species